rnacentral:tRNA from 1 species
GGUGCCUUAGCUCAGUUGGUAGAGCANNAAUGGACUGAAAAUCCAUGUGUCCGCAGUUCAAAUCUGCGAGGCACCA